AACGAACGCUGGCGGCAUGCCUAACACAUGCAAGUCGAACGAGACCUUCGGGUCUAGUGGCGCACGGGUGCGUAACGCGUGGGAACCUGCCCUUAGGUUCGGAAUAACUCCCCGAAAGGGGUGCUAAUACCGGAUAAUGUCUUCGGACCAAAGAUUUAUCGCCUUUGGAUGGGCCCGCGUUGGAUUAGCUAGUUGGUAGGGUAAAAGCCUACCAAGGCGACGAUCCAUAGCUGGUCUGAGAGGAUGAUCAGCCACACUGGGACUGAGACACGGCCCAGACUCCUACGGGAGGGAGGAGUGGGGAAUAUUGGACAAUGGGCGAAAGCCUGAUCAAGCCAUGCCGCGUGAGUGAUGAAGGCCUUAGGGUUGUAAAGCUCUUUUACCCGGGAUGAUAAUGACAGUACCGGGAGAAUAAGCUCCGGCUAACUCCGUG
rnacentral:rRNA from 1 species